AGCGAUCGCCCUCCAUCCAGAUAUUAAUUCUCCUAUUAGAUUAAAUAACGCGAAGGGUUGUGCUGCUUUCAUUACGCGUCGUGGGCGAGCGAGCUGCCUGCAGCCUCUGCCUCCUCCUCGCCUCCCGCCAGCAGAGCACUAAUUAAGCAACAGGCAGGAGAGAUGCUCGUCUGCCUCCCGCCCUUUAUUAAUUGCUGGUUCGCUUUCGGCGCCGUGCAGCUUUGCUUCACCUCUGCUCGCUUUUUGGCCGCUCCCUCACAGCAGGGAUUUGCUGCUGCUGCUCACACCCAUUGGCUUUCAUCACCAAAAAGGCCCAAAUACCCCCUAUGGGCAUUUCCCUCGUGGCGGAGAAACAGGCGGUGCCACCCGACGCGACGCAAGCCCCAAACCAGGGGGCUUUUGACGGCCUUUUGGCACUCUCCAACCCACCUAUUUCAGGAGGGACACCAUUGCAAGCUCAGCUCUUCGGGCUUUAAGCCCAACUGGCGGCACUCAGCUCCUUUCAACACCGCACCUCUACUUUGCAGCGCCGCCGGAGCUCUGCAGCGCCCGCACGGCCGUCGGCCCUCUCUGCAAACGAAGGCUGCGCCGGGCCGCGGGACGCCGUGCGUUUAAAUCCGAGCGCACCUUUCCCUUCUCCUCCCAUCCCUGCCGUCUCUCAGCACCUCUCCCUGCCCGUCCUCCCCCCGCAGCCGGGAAGCGCGGCGCUGCGUCCCGUAAGCCGGGGAUGUGCGGGGAGUCGCUCCCUCGGAGGGCGAUGCUCUUCCCGACCCGGUUCGGCUCAGCAACCUGCGGGAAGGAGAGAUGGAUUCUGCCCCGACCGCCGAGGGAGAGGCAGUAAAUCACUUCCCAUUGACCGAGGAGUGCUUUCGUUCCGAGCAGAGUGCACUUUGCAUGCAUUUUGCAUGCGCUUCCAGCGCACUUUAAAUUAAUGCACUCUCGACUCAAAGCCUCUGCUAAUUCACAUUUCCCUGCACGAGCGUUCCCCUGUAGAUGUGGUUCCCGACCCAAAGCCCUUUGCAGAUGGGCGGGGAGCCUCCACGUUGUCUUCCACCCUCAACCCGGGGCUAAAUUAACCGAGCUAAUCGCCCUUACGGCCACGCGUGGGGUGCGGGGGGACGCAGCGAAACACAUCCUGCCACGCUGCUUCCAUCCCGAUGCUCGCCCUAUAAGCGCCCUGCCUGCGGGCUGUGGGGCAGCUCUGGGCUCUGCCCUCCGCCUCCCAGAGGGAAAUAAUUCAUCUCGCUGCCCUCCUGCUGACUCUCUCCUGCAUUGAUCCGCUGCCAAUUGGCUGCUCUGCGAGAGGAGCGAGGGUGGAGGCUGCAGGAUUCACUGCCGAUGUUGUAAGGACAAAGUCAAGGGGACCGCGCUCUUCUCAGAAACGCAUCCAGGCUGAUUUUGGGAAGAGGGGACGUUUGGGGUCCGGCUGCUGCGUGAUCCCACGUGGCGAUGCUCUUGGUGUGGGAUGCAUUGGGCCCUCCUCUCGACCCCCCUUUACACGAGCAGCAUUGCGAAGGCUGGGAGGUGAUGAUGGUCCUGUCCUCAUUUUGAACCAGAGGGGUGAGACGUAAUGGCACUCAUUAGCUGUGUGCACUUUCCAUCUGCACAGCGUUGGUCAUUCAGGAGACGUGCCUAAAUAAGGAGCUCCGUGCCCCAAAUUCUCUGCACUCAAUGAAGAGAGAAAUCAGCACCUUCGGGUCUACGCUGUGGUGCUAAUUGCAAACCCCCCAUGAAUCCCCCACUGAGGAGAGAGGAACCUUCAGAGCAGUGCCCCAAAUGUGUCUCCUCUCUUGGAAUGGAUCAUUGGACUCAACCCAAGGGUGGUUUGUUGGCAGAGCUGGAGGGCUGCUGCCCUGUGACGGUGGAAUGGAGCAGUUUGACUCAACCCAAUUGGUUGGCAAAGCCAGAAGGGACGUCGUCCUUCUAUACUGGAAUGGAAAGUGGGACUCAACCCAAUGCUGAUUGGCUGGCAAGACCAGAUGGGUUCUGCCCUUUGAUACUGGAGUGGAAAGUGGGACUCAACCCAAUGCCGGCUGGUUGGCAAGGUCAGAUGGAUGCUGCCCUUCGACAACGCAAUGGAACAGUUUGACUCAACCCGAUGCGUAUUGGUUGGCAAGAUCGGAUGGAUGCUGCCUUCAAUACUGGAAUGGAACACGGGACUCAACCCAACACUGGUCUGCUAGAAAAAAUGAACAGACGCUGCCCUUUGGGAAAGCAGUUGAAGCUCAUCUGUAGCACUCCCUGGGAAAUGAGGGAGCUCGUGGUGCUGGCGCAGGUCAUGGGGUGGAUGGCUCUGGUUGCUGCCGUACCAUAAAUCCUGGCCAGGCGAGCCUGGCGGCACCGAGAGGUACCCACAAAGGGACAUCCAUCACGUUAACCCAAAUCAACCUUUAAAAUGGAUUAGCCAGAGCACAUAAAACCCCAUUCUGGACACUUAGCCAGAAUUAGAGUUGGUUUAAUUCACUUGAGCUUAAUUCGCAAAGCUAAACCGAAUUAAGGCUGGCUGCGUUCGGAACGAGCAGCUCCACGCGUGGAGUUUAAUGUGAUUUACAUCGCCUGCUCUCCAUCCACACCUCUGGGUGAUCUAUGUGCCACCGGGGAGCAGAGCUGGCAGGGAAUGCAGGGAACGUUGCCACGCCGCUGCCAGGACCGAACAUCGCUGCAGGGUCACCGAGCCCUGGAGCAGCACGGAGGGAGGAGACGCUUCCAGUUCUCUUCUUGCAGCAGUGGGAGGGAUGGAAGGGACCCUCCAACCCCCCGAUGAAAUUAUAUCUACAUCGGCUGGAAUUCGGCUCUCGUUGACCCCAUCAAACCAGGGAAAUGCCUCCAUUGGGGCUCUGAGGAGAGCAUCCGUAACCCUGAUGGACCACUGCGAGUGGAAAACCAGCGACCACCAACCCCACCUCUCCCUGUUUGUCAGUGAUGGAGGCGAUGGGCUCCGCUUCCCAUCAGCACACUUCGUCUUAUGGUCGGGAUGAGGAACUGCUCUGCAGGGGAGCCUCUCGCCAGCGCCGUGUUUCCAUUCGCCUGCGCGGAUCGACGUCUGCGGUGGGAGGGAAUUGGGGUAGGGGCAGCCCGGCGUCUCCGGUGUGGAGCUCGGAGGGAGACAGAAAAGUGCUUUUUGGGGACCUGAUGGGUUACAAAUCACAAAUCUUUUGUCCCCACCCCCGUGGGGAGCAGGAAUGGGGUCAGGGCAGCCCGUGGUUGAAUGUCUCCUUGCGUUUGCCAUCGCCCUGCAGCACCCGGAGUCAUUUGGCUGAGUAGAAGACGAGGUCCCCCUGAAGUGGAUGCUUGGGGUCCCACAAAGCCAACAAAACUCAACCAGCCCAGAGCCAUCUCACCACGCUGCGACCAUCUCAGAGCCAAAAGUGGCCCUCAGGGCUCACACGAUGCCAUGGGAGCACCUCAAGGGUGUGCUGGGACAUCCUCAUGUGGACGUGGAACCUGGCCUUGGCCAACAGGGGUUUCUCAAGGCUCACAUGGCUCAAUGGGAAUGCCUCUAAGAUGUUUUGGGACAUCCUCAUGUGGACGUGGAACCUGGCUUUGGCCCACAGUGGUCCUCCAGGCUCUCCCAGUGCCAUAAGAACAUCUGUAGGGUGCAGUGGGAGAUCCUCCUACGGACAUGGAAGCUGGGCUUGGCCAACAGUGGUCCUCCAGGCUCAUGUGAUGCCAUGGGAACACCUCUGGGGUGUAAUGGGGAAUCUUCAUGUGGACAUGGAACCCAGUCUUGGCCAACAGAGGUCCUCCAGGCUUGCACCAUGGGAGCACCUCUGGGAUAUACUGGGACAUCCUCGUGUGGGGAUGGGGACACUCAGUCACAGCAACCGGUGCCGACGUCCCCAACCUGGAACACAGAGAGAAGAGGCCACAUCCUGCCCGAGGCCACCACCUUCCCCAUCCACCCACUCCUUCAGCUCCAGAAAUACCCUGACAUGGGACACUCUGUAUCUCAGAGCUCUCCCCCCAACCAUCCACAGCGCCACGGAGCAAAGCCUGGGUGAGAAACACGUCCGGAUGGGGCUGAGCUCACAGUUCAGGGCGCCUUCCAGCCAAAGGAAGGGAUUCUUUUAUGGAAUCCUGGAGGAAAAAAAGGGACUGCAGCACCCAUGGGCUGCCAGGAAGAGUGAGAUUCGUACUGCACAAAAGAUAGGAGAGGAUCACAGAGCACAAAGCCCUCAACGUCUUCCAUUAUAUCCACGAGAAUUAAAAGACAUGGAGCGAGCAUUGAGAACCCGCCGGCUUAAUAACAGAAGUAAAAAGUUGUUAAUCAGGCACGUGACCCUAUAAAAUAAAGGGAAUAAUUGAAAAGAUAUCUAAUUUAUCUAUUGAAUGCCUCCAACGCUCUCUUUAUCACCGAGAUGGACAGAAUAUAAUUGGUGCGGUGAAAGCCAUCAAUCUUAGGAAGUGGGCUUUCUGUACAAGAUACAACUAUUACUGUCAUAUUAUGACACCAUAAUAUCAAGAUCAAUGACAUUUUAAACGCACUCCAGUUAUGGGCAAUUGGUGACAAUAAAAACAGUGACAAAUUGAUGAAACAAGAGCCAAAUGAUCCGGCGUCUAAAAUAAACCAUAAAUAAUCUUCUUAAAAUAUAUAGAGAGAUAUAUCCACCGAACUCGCUGUGGUUGGGGGGCGGUGAUUCCUUCCACCCGAGGUCUCCAAUGGGCCACCGUUCUCAGGAAGGGGAAGCUUCCCCUUUUGAUUUAAGGGUCAUUCCCAUGCGGUUUAAUGAUGUUAUCGUUAGCAUAAUUGUUGCCAUAAAAAGGAAGGUUACGGUUUCGAAGGGCUGAGGAGCCAACGCGACGGCACAGUAAACAGCGGCACCGUUUCUAGAUCUUAUGGCACCAGGAUGGUGAUAUUCCCUCAGGGCCUCCGUGGGCCUUAAAUAAAGAUAAUAACAACCACAGCAAUUGUGUCCGGAGCUCUGCAGAGCGCUCUGAUUGCAGUUAUGGGGACAGCAUUUGGGUUUUUUUAUAUAGAAGGGGGGGAUGGGGGUCAGGGAGGCUGAAAUCCGACAGAUCCAUUCUUCUUCUGAAACCCAAUGAGGUUGGAAAAGACCUCCAAGACCAACAUUACAACCCCAACCCAUUCCCACCAUGAUCACUCAUCGAAUCAUGGAGUCAUUAAGGUUGGAAAUGACCUCUGAGACCAUUGAGUCCAAACCCAACCCAUUCCCACCAUGCUCACUCGUCAAAUCAAGGAGCCAUUAAGGUUGGAAAAAGACCUCCAAGACCAACAGUCCAACCCCAACCCGUUCCCACCAUGCUCACUCAUAGAAUCAUGGAGUCUUAAGCUUGGAAAAGAGCUCCAACACCAACAACCCAACCCCAACCCCCCACUGUGCCCACUAAAACAAGGCUUGGCGUCUCACUGCACCCAAUGGAGGCCGUGCAUUGUGGACAUGGCUCUGCCCAACGGCCACCGUUCUCCAGUGGCUGAGCAUUGAGCCAUUUAAGCUCUGAAAAUAAUAAUGAAAAUAAUAAUGAUUUGUUUAAAAAGGGGGAGAAAACAGGGAAAAUCUCUCCAGUUUAUGAGUAAACAUCCCCCCAAAAAAGGAAAGCAAAUGGAGGGGAUGUCCUCAGUGCUGCUGGGGUGGGUGCAGAGGAGUGGAGCUGCCUGGUUCUGCCUCCGACUCGCUCCUUCUCCUCUAUAUUUGAUAAUCACCCCAAAACUGACACCACAAUGCGGUGCAAAAUGGCUCAGAAAUGGAAACAACCCCAACCCCGGCCCAGCUCCACGCUCCGCUCGGAUUCUUUUGGGAUGAAUCCAUGCCAGAACCAUCGUGGCUCUCAGCAGCUCAUUCCCCCGCGGCUCCACGUGUCGUUGCCAACGACAUGUGGUCCUCAGCCUCAUUCUGGGGUGAAUGGCCCCAAAAGCGUCUGCAGGGACUCAGCACGGAGCCUCGGGGUGGGGGGUGAUGGAAAAUCCCACCUCAGGAUCCUCCGCUCUGAGCCAGGGGGGGAUUUGAGGGCUGGGUGGGCGCUGGGGGAAGCGUUGGGGUCUCCGCAGGAAGAUGUGAGGUGGGGGAAGGCUGUGGUUUGUGUGCAGGGAGGAACCUGAGGGGAAACUGAGGCACAGCUGUGAUCCGAAGGGGAAACUGAGGCAGGGAAGCGGAUAGGGAGGAUGAAGAGGGGACCCCACUCCGCUGCCUCAGCUCCAUUGGAAGCCGCCCCCUGAGCCCCCCUGGCCUUCACAGCACACCUCGGUGACCACCCCUAAGGAGCAGCCGAAGCUCCAGCAGAAUUAAACACCGGGAGAUGGAGCAGCAAAGCAUCACUCAGCCCACGCUGAUAGCGAGCGGCUCUAAUGCUGAAAUAUGGGCCGUUUAGGGGAAGCCAACCCAUCUCCCUGCAAAGAAAAAAUAAUAUCAUACCAACACAACAACUUGCAGCUUGAUAAAAGAUACGCCGGGUAAAUACAUUAAUGGGAGGUAAUUGAAAACUGGUGGGUAAUCUUUAAGCAAUCACGGAGCUCAGCCGUCGGGGCGGCGGCGGAUGCACGGAUGGCACCGUUUUCCACAUCACAGCCUGGGUGUUUUAUGGGGUUGGGUCUCCGAGUGGAACAGCGGUGUCAUAUUUAGCUUUCUAAUUAUAUUUCGAGAUGCUCCAGCAGCUCUCCCCGCCGCGCAGCACGUGGGGCUGAACAAAGGGGAAUUGCAGCCAUAAAAGAGAGAGAGGACGAGGUAUCAGCGGAUGGAAGAGAUAAAGAUGUUCCCUCUCCUCUUCCUGAGCUGGCUGAUAUUAAUAGGACAGGAGGCUCUCAGCUCCUGGGCACGGAGGAGAAGGCUGCAGGGUGGUUCUUUAAUGCUGCUUUGCAAUUUGCUUUCAUUCUCCGGCCCCGAAGCGGCGAUCCGUGCAGCUCCAGCGUUGCUCUCCUUGCUCAGCACCACGCGCAUCCCCAAUCCCAUCCUUGGGUGUGAGGCUGUGGGCACUGAGCUCUCAUUGCAUGGGGGUGUGGGGACCCCACGGUGCUGAGCUCCUUUUGCAUUGGGACCCCACAGUGCUGCGCUCCCAUUUGCAUGGGGGUGUGGGGACCCCACGGUGCUGUGCUCCCAUUGCAUUGGGACCCCACAGUGCUGUGCUCCCAUUGCAUUGGGACCCCAUGGUGAUGAGUUCCUUUUGCAUUGGGACCCCACGGUGCUGUGCUCCCAUUGCAUGUGUAUGUGGGGGACCCCAUAGUGCUGUGCUCCCAUUGCACGGGGAUGUGGGGAUGGAACGAUUACCCCAUACCCCAUUGCUGGAGGGCGCUGCUUUGGGCUCAGGGAUUGCUUCCACAGCCGCUUUGCUGUCCGUCUGUCCCCGCUGUCCAUCCCUCCAUCACCCAUCUCUGGUGACGUUCCCCACUCCCACACUGUGCUGAUGUGUCCCCCCCACAGAGCUGAGACCCCCGCG
ensembl:lncRNA